AAGGGCCACUCCCGGCCCCCCACGGACAGCGGCACCGCCGGGACCCGGCCCGGGGCAGCCCCGGCACUUGUGGCCUUGCAGCCCCUGCUGUGACGAGGGGGGUCUUUGGCCACGGUCCCACACGAGGCAUGAAGGCCAGUCAGGAUUUUUAACAUCCAUAAGCAGGAAGAUCCUUGGGAAGCACUGCAGCUAUACAUGGAACACUGAACACACUUGAGCAAGGACAGGUAGAAGAAGACAUAGGGUGUUCUUAACUUCCCCAACAAACACAGUAGUUUCCUCAAUCUACUCAAGAAUCAGUGUAAAUUGGUUUCCCAAAAGGACUGCAUUUUGUAGCUAAUGGGAGUGCUUGGUUACCACAUGAUUAUUUCCUAAAUGGAAAAAAAAUGCACAUUAGCAUGAAUAUUCAAAUGAGACCGAGAACCAUUAAAGACCCAUUUGUUCUACAAAUAGAACUGCAGUGACUUUUUGAAUAAAUUCCUCAUGAAAGGCAGUUUUCUACAGAUGUGAGAGGCCAGAAAAUAUUUACUACUUGAAGAAAAGGGGAGGUAUCUGUUUUUCUGAAGGAGAGCAACUAAACAGACCUAGGAGAUCAACCUGUUUUUCUGCCUGGAUUUUCAGAAUUGCUGGUUUUCACCAUUUUUAUCAGAAUAAUCAAAUCCCAAGAUGAACUUGAAUAAAUUGCAUGUUCUUUUGA